rnacentral:rRNA from 1 species
UACGUAGGGCGCAAGCGUUGUCCGGAAUUAUUGGGCGUAAAGAGCUCGUAGGCGGUCUGUCGCGUCGGCUGUGAAAUCCCGGAGCUCAACUCCGGGCCUGCAGUCGAUACGGGCAGACUGGAGUUCGGCAGGGGAGACUGGAAUUCCUGGUGUAGCGGUGGAAUGCGCAGAUAUCAGGAGGAACACCAAUAGCGAAGGCAGCUCGCUGGGACGUUACUGACACUGAGGCGCGAAAGCGUGGGGAGCGAACAGGA